UCAGAUGCUGCAUGCCUCUUUCUCAACAGAUGUGUGCCUGGAGGUCCGCUGACCCAAAUGAAAAGUCUAGAAAUUGUAGUGUGGUGAAAAGAUCAUAUGACAGGACUAACUUUACCUCUACUAUGCAGCAUACAGGAUGUGCCUGGAUGUGUGAGUUACCAGUGGGAUGGAAGAGGCAGCCAGCAAGAAGCAGGAGAAAGGAGAAUCAGCUGCUGCCUGUUUACACAGUACAUGUUGCACAUAUUCUUCUCAGCCACAAGUUAUGGUGCCAGUCAAGACAUGUCAGUGACUACCAGGUCUGUCUGAUGGAGGUGACAGCCACUAUUAUCCAGGGCCUUCCAAAGGACUCCUACACAUCCCUCCAGUCCCAAUUCCUAUGCAAACCCUUCCUUGACCUUUGCAACUCCUCACUCUCACACCAGAGAGCAAUGCUGAUGACCUUACUCCUUGUACACCCUGUUCUCUGUGCUACCUACCACAUUGCUGGUAAAUCAUCAGUGUUGCUACUAUUUGGUUCUUCUGGUUUUUCGGUUUGUUGUUUUGGUUUUUUGUUUGUUUGUUUGUUUGUUUAUUUGCCUCCAGGAUUAUUGCUGGUGCUUGGUACCUGCACUAUGAAUUCACCACUCCUGGCAGCCAUUCC